ensembl:lncRNA
CUGUUUAAAAACACUGAUAAAAUUCAAGAAUGUGCCAAUAAUAACUCCCUCAUCGUGGGCUGAGCUGGAUUUCCAAAGCACCAGAAGCUGAAUGCUGAUCCUCCAGGAAAGAUGGUGAGCAGGGUGCCAUUGGGGGCCCUCAGGACCACCUGACUCCAAACCACAGGACUGGUCCACGAUAAUUGACAAUAGGCCCCCACGGAAGUCUUCUCAGCAUUUCUGCAAAAAUUUAGCAAACAUUAGGUUUGACACCAUCACCAUGUUUGCCAAGACAGCAAAAAUCCCAGCCGGCAAAACUUCGAGCGUGAUGAAGUGGAACAGAGAGGACAGCGCGGAAUGAGUGAUCAUUUCAGGAAAUCUUCUAGCAAGAGUUUCCAGUGUUGGGAUUUCGCAUCGUCUUUGCAGGAAGAGCGGUACGGAAGGUCCACUCUGGGGCCAGGCUGCGGUGAUGUAGGUUGGGCAAAACAUCCAUCGUCAGCCAUAAUGAGGAUUCCUGUUGGAUCACAUACAAAGCCUGUUUUUCACGAGUGAGAUUUAAGACAUGUAUGUCCACUCACGAGUGGAGUGAGCGACGUUUACACAGCAUUGGUUUGCAACCGUCUUGGGAGCUUUCCUGGUAAAAUCUGAAACUGGCCUCUGUACUCAGAAGGGAGGGAGAGACCAAAGAAAGAGGCAGGCCAUCACGGGUAGGUGGGUGGCAAUCUCAAUAACAGCGACGGAAGCUUACAUGUGAGACAAAUGGAUCCCUGCACCUGCCCACCCAAUCUUAAAAUGUUAUAAAGGGGCCUUCACUGGGUUCAGUCACAUAUACUGGGCAGGUGUUCUCAAUACCAUAUCACUAUCUUAAGGCUACGUCCUUGAAGUAGCCUCUGGGAGUGGGAAAGGCAAGCAGGAUGCAUAUUCCCAGGACAGAGGAAGGAGUGAGGAGCCUCCAAUUGGCGGUCAUGUCCUUCCGAUGACGUUCCCAACACACAGGUAACUAACCAUCCUUGCAUGAACAGGGUAACCUAAUUGUCCUAGGUUUAGGAAACCCCAUCACUAACCUGCUAGUUCAGACCAAGGGCUUUGCAAUCUGUCGCCCCUAGGGCUGAGGAGGCUGAGGUGCUGAUUGAUCUGUGCUGGUGGUUAACAUGCCCAAGACAGCUCAGCAGCAUUAUCAUCCAGACCAAAAGAAAUUUGGGAAUUACCUUUAAUUACUGUUGUGGUCCCAGUUUGCUGUGCGGUAAGCAUGCUCCUUAUAAAUAAGGAAAGUUGAGAUAUCAACAGUGUGGCGAAGGUCGGUAUGGAAGACAAACCCCAGCACGGAACCACCAAGGGUGGGGGCUGGUGAGGAGGGCUGAUGGUUGAGUGUACACGAUGCAGCUGAGGUCUACUGCAGAGAAAGGGGGGACAUGAAGACUUCCUCAGGCAAGGAGGUCAGAAUGGAGAGAAAUAGGAAUAAGAAGGCAUUUUGAGUUAAUUGAAAAGAACUCCGAGAUAUUUCUUAUAAAUCGUUCUCAUGAAUGGAGAAAAGAUCAACUUGGGGCAACCACUCUUAGAAUAGCGUUUCUGGUCAGGGUAUUUUAAAUGUUAACUCACCUCCCGGGAGGAGAGAAAAGCCGCCUCUUAGAGCGAUAUCCCACUGGUGGUGUGUGAGAGGAUGGCUGGACUUAAACAUCUGAAUACUCUUCUAUUUUAAUAGUUGCGUGUUUAUUUGAUGACUCUCAUUAUCUUUGGCAAGUCAUUAUACUUUUCUAUUUGAGGCAGUGGCACAACACUUUCUGUUAAAAUAAAUUUGAGGGAGGAGGGGCACCUGGGUGGCUCAGUCGGUUAAGCGUCUGACUCUUGAUCUCAGCUUAGGUCUUGAUCUCACAGUCGUGAGGUCAGGUCCUGUGUUGGGCUCCACUCUGGGCAUGGAGCCUACUUAAAAAAUAACAUAAAAUAAAAUACAUUUGAGGGGGAAAAGUGAACUGAUUUAAGGAAAAAUUAUUUAUUAAAAGAAACAGGAGAGAGAGUAUGGAAAAAAUAGAAAGGCAGUAUUAGAAUGACCAAAGCUUGGGAGAACAUCAAAAGUUGUGCUCCAUUUGGGUGGAGAAGCAGAAAAGAAAGGAAAUAAUUACCUAGUUUGUAAUGGCCCAUGGGUAAUUUUGCAACCAGUUUACCUCAUCACAUGGGCUUUUUUCUCAUGAAGAUUAUUCUCUGAAAAUGCAAAAAAAUCCAAGGAGAGAGUCAUAUCUUAACAUAUGAUAAACAGGGUUUUUUCUUAAGUUUAUUUAUUUUUGAGAGAGAGACAGAGCACAAGGGGAGGGUCAGAGAGAGAGGGAGACACAGAAUCCGAAGCAGGCCCCAGGGUCAGAGCUGUCAGCACAGAGCCCGACGUGGGGCUCAAACUCACGAACUGCG